AUGGCUGAAACAUGUUGGUUACGGCAACUUCUUCAGGAGCUUCAUCGACCAGUGACUGGUGCCACUGUGGUGUUUUGUGAUAAUGUGAGCUCUAUUUACAUGACACAGAAUCCCGUUCAUCAUCAGCGCACCAAGCAUGUGGAGAUCGAUUUGCACUUUGUGCGCGACCAUGUCACCACAGGCGAGGUCCGGGUUCUUCACGUUCCGAGUUCUUCUCAAUUUGCGGACAUCUUCACCAAAGGAUUGCCAUCCCCUGUCUUCUUGGAUUUUCGGGACAGUCUUAACAUUCGUCGACGCCCAUUUACGACUGAGGGAGGGUGUUAG
rnacentral:rRNA from 1 species